rnacentral:lncRNA from 1 species
AAAAUAGUAUAAAUGCACAUUAAAAAAAUAAAAAAAUUUCAGGUGAGAUCAAAAUACCUCUCUAAUUAUGACGAAGGUGGCGAAAGUGACAAUGUGCUGGCGUUGACGAUAACAAUAUGCUACGAUGUACUGGUGCUAGCGAUGGGGACAUAUGAAAAAUAUUUGAGAAAAAUAUAGGUGAAAAUAAAAAAGAUGUUACUAAAAAAAAUAUGUCUUUAAAAAAAUAUAUUCUGUGUAUGAAUAAAUAUUAUGAUGAAAUAAAGAUUGGAUAGUGUAGAUAUUAUAUGCAAAGAUAUGUAGAUAUUAUAUGCGAGUGUAUUAAGAUAUGUUCAAUAUUUGAGAAAUGCAUAAGAUAUUUUGGCGGGUAUUACUUUUGAAUAUUUUACUAAAAAAAAUUUAAAAAUAUAAAAUUAUAUUUAAUUAAUAAUUUAGUUUUGCUUAGGUGGGUAUUAAAUCUUUUUAGUAAUAUUUUACAUGAUUGGCCCAAGUAUUACGUGUGAGAAAGAAAAUAUUUGAAAAACACGUAAAUAGGAGAUAACGGAUAUUUUAAGAGAAAACAUGUGUGAGAAACAAAAUUUUUAAGGAACCUGUAGAUAUGAUAUAACGGAUAUUUUAAGUUACGACGGGAAUUACGUUUGAGAAAAUGCGUAGAUAUUUGUAAAACGCGACGGGUAUUUUUGUCAAGAAAAGUGACAGAUACUUUUAUUUUUAACCGUUGGAUGAGAUCUAAUGGUAAAAAUUUAAGAUCUAUAUUUAAGAAUAAAUUAUUAUUUGAAAAAUUAUUUGAAACGAAUGGUUGCAAAUUACUGGAUAUAAAAAUAUUAGUAGAAAAGAUAGAGGUAUUUUUGGAAAGGAAAAAAUUUCAAAACUCACGCUUUUAUAAGUAGUAUA